rnacentral:rRNA from 1 species
AACGCGAAGAACCUUACCCAGAUUUGACAUGCAGAGGACAGUUCCAGAGAUGGGAUCUCCCUUCGGGGCCUCUGCACAGGUGCUGCAUGGCUGUCGUCAGCUCGUGCCGUGAGGUGUUGGGUUAAGUCCCGCAACGAGCGCAACCCUUAUCAUUAGUUGCCAACAAUAAGAUGGGAACUCUAGUGAGACUGCCUGGGUUAACCAGGAGGAAGGUGAGGAUGACGUCAAGUCCGCAUGGCCCUUAUGUCUGGGGCUACACACGUGCUACAAUGGCCAGUACAGAAGGCAGCGAAACCGCGAGGUGAAGCAAAUCCCUAAAACUGGCCCCAGUUCAGAUUGUAGUCUGCAACUCGACUACAUGAAGCCGGAAUUGCUAGUAAUGGCGAGUCAGCACAUCGCCGUGAAUACGUUCCCGGGCCUUGUACACACCGAUAGC